GGAUUGUUAAGACCAAGGUCUUCUUCUGCAUGUCUUCCAGAAAACCAGGCUGUCUCCAUGCUUCCAAUGAGACCUGUGUCAUGUGGACUAUCAGUCGAACAACGUGGACAUUCUGACACGAUGUUCUUUCCCUCUUCGUACUUCUCUUCAGCUUCACAGCCU
rnacentral:lncRNA from 13 species